UUAAUUUAUUUGUGUUUUUUUCAGAUUACUUUGAAAAUAAGAAUUUAAAGGCCUUUGGCGAACACUCGUCGACAGGUAUGUCGGCGUGGGGAAAUCCCCAGGAUUCGCCAAAGCAACAGUGGUAUAUGUAAACAUAGGGUGAAAGAGGUGAGGCCGAAGCCCCGAAAGCCGAAACUUCCUUCUCUAUAAUGAUCCUUCCGCAGGUUCACCUACGGAAA
rnacentral:misc_RNA from 1 species